rnacentral:rRNA from 1 species
UACGUAGGGGGCAAGCGUUGUCCGGAAUCAUUGGGCGUAAAGCGCGUGUAGGCGGCCCGGUAAGUCCGCUGUGAAAGUCCAGGGCUCAACCCUGGGAUGCCGGUGGAUACUGUCGGGCUCGAGUCCGGAAGAGGCGAGUGGAAUUCCUGGUGUAGCGGUGAAAUGCGCAGAUAUCAGGAGGAACACCAAUGGCGAAGGCAGCUCGCUGGGACGUGACUGACGCUGAGACGCAAAAGCGUGGGGAGCAAACAGG